rnacentral:rRNA from 1 species
CGGUGGAGCAUGUGGUUAAUUCGAGGCAACGCGAAGAACCUUACCAGGUCUUGACAUCCCUGACAACCCGAGAGAUCGGGCGUUCCCUCGGGGGACAGGGUGACAGGUGGUGCAUGGUUGUCGUCAGCUCGUGUCGUGAGAUGUUGGGUUAAGUCCCGCAACGAGCGCAACCCUCGACCUUAGUUGCCAGCAUUCAGUUGGGCACUCUAAGGUGACUGCGGCUAAAAGUCGGAGGAAGUGGGGAUGACGUCAAAUCAUCAUGCCCCUUAUGACCUGGGCUACACACGUGCUACAAUGGGCGGUACAAAGGGUCGCGAACCCGCGAGGGGGAGCCAAUCCCAAAAAGCCGCUCUCAGUUCGGAUUGCAGGCUGCAACUCGCCUGCAUGAAGCCGGAAUCGCUAGUAAUCGCGGAUCAGCAUGCCGCGGUGAAUACGUUCCCGGGCCUU